AACGAACGCUGGCGGCAGGCUUAACACAUGCAAGUCGAACGCCCCGCAAGGGGAGUGGCAGACGGGUGAGUAACGCGUGGGAAUCUACCUAGAUCUACGGAACAACAGUUGGAAACGACUGCUAAUACCGUAUACGACCUAUGGGGGAAAGAUUUAUCGGAAUUAGAUGAGCCCGCGUAAGAUUAGCUAGUUGGUGAGGUAAUGGCUCACCAAGGCGACGAUCUUUAGCUGGUCUGAGAGGAUGAUCAGACACACUGGGACUAAGACACGGCCCAGACUCCUACGGGAGGCAGCAGUGGGGAAUAUUGGACAAUGGGCGCAAGCCUGAUCCAGCCAUGCCGCGUGAGUGAUGAGGGCCCUAGGGUUGUAAAGCUCUUUCAGUAGGGAAGAUAAUGACGGUACCUACAGAAGAAGCCCCGGCUAACUUCGUGCCAGCAGCCGCAGUAACAC
rnacentral:rRNA from 1 species